rnacentral:lncRNA from 1 species
UUUUGUGGUGUACUAUGAUUUAGUGCAUUUUGGAUGAAAAUCAAUUAAUUUUGUUAACUCCUGGUGGCUGAAGACUAAUGAAUAAUUUAAAUUUCAACUAAAUUACAAUUAAAAUUAUAGAGGUUAACUUGUUCUUAUAGUCAAACUCUAGGGCUUUUUUACAUAAUUAUCCCUCUUUUGACUUUUCUUUUAACAAUAUGACCUAUUUUGUGAUAUAGAGUCACUUAAAGGGCAACUUUGGUGGCUUCUUUUUCCCAUUUUUAUUUAUUUUUCUUUUUCAGAUAAUAACAAAAAGAUAAGAAGUGGAGAUGGGAUACUAACUGCAAGUCGCCAUGUCUCUUAAUCUGAUAAGGCUGCAACUGCCAAAUCUCAAUCUCAUACAUAUGAAGACGAAGACGAAGAAGAUUUGGGAUUUCAGCCAUCAUCAUCCUAAAAGGGACGGUCUCUACAGCCUAUACAUGCACACCUCGCCAAGAAAUCGAACAGCAGGUAUGUUAUGGUGUCAUAGAUCUAUCUCCUCUCUCUCUCUCUUCUCUCUCUCUCUCAUAUCUCACGAAAUAGUCCUAAUUCAAUUGGACUAAUUGGACUUUCUUAAUCCUACUGGGAGGCUGUUUAACCCAACAGAAACGAUCAGGUCAAGCAUUUUUUUUCAUAACCUUUUAGGCUUUGUUUGGAUGAGAAUUUGUUGAGGAAAAAAGAAAUGAAAAUUAAAAAAAUAGAUAAUUUAAUAGUUUAAAAUGACUGGACCGUAUAACUUUUUUAUUUCCAUCUCUUUUGAUAAAUGCGAAUUUCAAAUGAAUGAAUUUUACAUUGAAUAAGAAUGGGAAUAGCUUACAUUUAGAAUUGGUAGCAUGCGGAUGGAAUUUGACAUUGAAUUUUGCAACUUUAUUACGAUAUAUUUGAAAUGAUUAAUUAACAAAAAUAAUUUGAUAUGCGGAAUAGUAAAAACAUAUGGAUUACAUCUCUUCGAUUUAUCAAAUGUUGUAUUUAGACAACAGUUUUAGGGAUGAAUUUGCAAAGAGAAAAGAAAAGUACCUGUCUCAUCCAUUACACCUGUUUGGGGAAGGAGAUAGUCCUUGAUUUGGGUCUCUCCUUGAUUUCUUCUCCCUCUAAGCCAACUUCUCAAUUGUUUGGCAUAAUCUUUCUCUUCACAUACUUUUCUCAGCUCGCCUUCCAAAAUCAACACAGCCGGAUAUGCCACGCGACAGGGGUGGGACACCCGUCCGUGGUCACGCGAUGGUCCGCGUGGUCGUGGAAAAGACCGUCUGUGCCCUUGGUCCCUUUUUGCUGGCCAUGGCCCAUGGCCAAGCUUCGGUGAUUCCGACACCAGCUUAUCAUCUUCUCCGUCCGAUCGAGGAGGUCCAGAAACGGUGGGUUAAGGUACAAUGAAAGUGCAUGAAAGUCCUGUAUCCGUGAAAUCAUUGGACACAAGUGGUCGUGGCCCGACACGUUGCCGAACAUACGAGUCACAAUGCUAUUAGCUCUUGCGGAAGACUGGAUGUCUUUUUUAUCUGGUAUACUCUUCAACUAUUUGAGUUGUUUCUACUUAGUCUUAAGUUUUUAAUUUUAGGCUUAAAUCAUUCGUUAAUUACAGUGUUACCUAAUGAUACUCUUUACUUCAGUGUGAUCAAAACAACAUUUAUGCUUUUGGUCAAUUUUAAAAGUAGAUCUUAUCACCAAUUUGGUGUCAUUUUAGGUGACUGAAAUAAGCCCUAUAGCCUUCACGAAAAUAGGCUUAAUUGGUAUUUAAUUGAUCAAAAAAUAUGCCAAGAGAUCACUUAUCAGUAAUAAAUGACUAGGAAAGAAGGUUCAUUUAAUAUUUAACAUUAAAAUAUAACGGAUUGGCUGCAAUAAUUAAAAUGAAUAGUAUUAAAAUGAGAGUAAUAGUAAAAGUACAGGUGUUUUCAAGCUUGUGUUUAAGUAAGAUUUGAAAAUUUUAAAAGUAAUAUAUUUUUACCUAAAUAUAUUAAUAGUAAUUUUGAAUAAUUUAACCAAAAAAAUAAAAUCAAAUAAAUACUGACAACAUAUUAAUUAACAACUAUAUAUUUUUAUUUUAAUCAUCUAAAUAUUAAUUAAGAUAUAUUUUAUCUAAUUAAACGAAAUUACAUGAAUAUUAACCAAUAAUUAAUGAACGUGGGGUAUUUGUCUUUUGACAUUUAUACUAUCUAUCCAACUCAAAUCCCUUUUCUCCAAAACACAUCCAAACAUCAAACUAAAGCACCCUCUUAAAAGGUGGGCCUCAAUCGUAUUUAAAUUCAUCCCUCAUUUCAAAUCCACCAUCAAUCUCCCCUCAUUCCAAAUCCACCAAAAUCAUCUACUUGUUGCCCAAACGGACUGUACGGUCCCCAACCUUAGGCUGUAUUUGGCUUAAUGAUUUACUAGGGAAAAAAGAAAUGAAAAUAAGAAAAGAUGGGCCAAUAAGAAUUAGGAUCCGAGAGAAUCCAAUAUACUCCCACUCCAAGUAAGGUAGCAACUCGGUGGAAUCACUUGGGAACAGAUU